rnacentral:rRNA from 1 species
GACGAACGCUGGCGGCGUGCCUAACACAUGCAAGUCGAGCGAGUGAAUUUCCUUCGGGAUUGAAGCUAGCGGCGGACGGGUGAGUAACACGUGGGCAACCUGCCUCAUAGAGGGGAAUAGCCUUUCGAAAGGAAGAUUAAUACCGCAUAAGAUUGUAGCUUCGCAUGAAGUAGCAAUUAAAGGAGCAAUCCGCUAUGAGAUGGGACCGCGGCGCAUUAGCUAGUUGGUGAGGUAACGGCUCACCAAGGCGACGAUGCGUAGCCGCGCUGAGAGGGUGGUCGGCAAAAUUGGGACUAAUGCACCGCUCAGUCUCCCACGGGAGGAAGCAGUGGGGUAUAUUGCACAAUGGGGGAAACCCUGCUGCAGCAACGGCACGUUGGUGAGGACGGUAUUCGGGUUGUAAAGCUCUGUCUUCAGGGACGACAAUGACGGUACCUGCGGAGGAAGCCACGGCUACCUACGUGCCAGCAGCCGCCGUAACAC